rnacentral:rRNA from 1 species
GACGAACGCUGGCGGCGUGCUUAACACAUACAAGUCGAACGCUGAAGACCUGGCUUUUGUUGGGUUGGAUGAGUGGCGAACGGGUGAGUAACACGUGAGUAACCUGCCCUCUUCUUUGGGAUAACGCCCGGAAACGGGUGCUAAUACUGGAUAUUCACUGGCCUUCGCAUGGGGGUUGGUGGAAAGGUUUGUUCUGGUGGGGGAUGGGCUCGCGGCCUAUCAGCUUGUUGGUGGGGUGAUGGCCUACCAAGGCUUUGACGGGUAGCCGGCCUGAGAGGGUGACCGGUCACAUUGGGACUGAGAUACGGCCCAGACUCCUACGGGAGGCAGCAGUGGGGAAUAUUGCACAAUGGGCGAAAGCCUGAUGCAGCGACGCCGCGUGAGGGAUGGAGGCCUUCGGGUUGUAAACCUCUUUCGCUCAUGGUCAAGCCGCAACUGUGGGUUGUGGUGAGGGUAGUGGGUAAAGAAGCGCCGGCUAACUACGUG